UAUGUACUGGCUUUACUGAUUCCUCCUUCUUGAAGAACUGUAAUGUCAUUAAUUUGGUGUUGCAGGGAAACAGGACUGUUACUUUGAAAAAAUUAGAGUGUUUAAAGCAAGCUAACGCUUGAAUACAUUAGCAUGGAAUAAUGAAAUAGGACGUUCGAUCCUAUUUUGUUGGUUUCUAGGAUUGACGUAAUGAUUAAUAGGGAUAGUUGGGGGCAUUAGUAUUCAAUUGUCAGAGGUGAAAUUCUUGGAUUUAUUGAAGACUGACUACUGCGAAAGCAUUUGCCAAGGAUGUUUUCAUUAAUCAAGAACGAAAGUUAGGGGACCGAAGACGAUCAGAUACCGUCGUAGUCUUAACCAUAAACUAUGCCGACUAGGGAUCGGAUGAUGUUAAUUUUUUAAUGACUCAUUCGGCGCCUUACG
rnacentral:rRNA from 1 species